GACGAACCGUGCGAACGUUGUUCGGAAUCGACUGGGUCGUUAAAGGGCGCGUGAGGUCGGACUGCCAAGUCCGGGGAUGAAAUCCUCCGGCUUAACCGGAGAAUUGCCCUGGGAAUACUGGCGGUCUUGGAGGGAGGUAGGGCAGCGCGGAACUUCCGGUGGAGCGGUGAAAUGACGUUGAUAUCGGAAGGAACGCCGGUGGCCGAAAGCGGCGAUGCUGGCCCCGUCUUCUGACGCUGAGGCGCGGAA
rnacentral:rRNA from 1 species